GGUAGUAAAAGUCGUAACAAGGUUUCCGUAGGUGAACCUGCGGAAGGAUCAUUAUUGUAUAACCGAGGUGCGAGGGCUGUCGCUGACCCGAAAGGUCGUGCACGCCCGAGUGCCCUCACACACAUCCAUCUCACCCCUAUGUGCACCACCGCGUGGGUCCCCCUUUGGCUUGUUCGGAGGGGGGCUUACGUUUUCACACAAACUUUGUAUGCAGUGUAGAAUGUAUUUUUUGUUUUUGCGAUCACGCAAUCAAUACAACUUUCAACAACCGAUCUCUUGGCUCUC
rnacentral:misc_RNA from 1 species